rnacentral:lncRNA from 1 species
GGUUUUGAAGGCACCAUUGUGCACGUAAGGACCUUACGAACUCACCCAUACCCAUUUCAGGUAAGAAACCUUUCGAUUUCACGUUGAAAACUCGAGGUCCGAUUUGAGUACUAUUCAUGAACUUUGUAAUGGUUGGUUUUUAGGACAAUCCAAGCCCACAGUGAGCUUUAGGAGGUUCUCACGAAGCUCGGGGACGUUCGUUUGAAGGUUUUGGACGUCGGGAUCACAAGGUUCGAAGGUGGCUGGUUUUGGUGAAAUUUCCUAACGUGAUUUCGAAGGAUUUGGAAGUUUUUAAAGGUAUAGCCUUCUUCCUCUCGUAAUUUGUGAAGUUUUGGUGAAAAUUUCAUGGAAAAUGGUUGAGAAUCGAGCGAGAAAAUGACGAUUACAGGUCUGCCCAGUUUCCGGGGCCGACGAGUUUUUCCAGCGUCUGAAGGAAGGAGAUGACGGACGUGGGGGGCGCGUAGACCCAUGCCUAUCCCGGCGCGUGGGGGCGUGUGCAGCAUCGAAUUUUUUUUAAAAAAAUACCUCGACACCCCUGGCGUCGAGUAUGUCACUGUGGUAUAUUCAUAUACCCAAUUUGAGCAUCGUAUGAGAAGUUAUUACGUAUUGUCGGUUAUGUGCUUUAAAUAACAUUUUUAUAGUUUUUUUGCAUAUAGGUGAUACCUAUCCCGAGGACGAGCGCAUUCAAGGACGUCACGGGGGUUACGACCCUUCGACUUACCAGUCAAUGGGCAGUAUUUUCUGUAUUUACCUAUAUACUAUUGAUUUUUCCCAGAAAUUAAAUUUAAAUGAAAAUAUGUUUUAAAAUGCCAUGCAUACAUAUAUAUGAAAUAUAUGAAUUGGUAAUUGUUGCAUAUAUAUGUUAAAUGGUGAUGUGGACGCACAGGUGAGUAUCAAGUUAAUCAUAUGAUUUAUUGUGAUGUGAAUUGUAUUGAAAGCUCAAACAUGCACCCCUGGUGUUAGUGCUUAUAUUUCACCCUGCACCACACGCUCACCUUGGAUCCAAAUAGGUGCAUGUCGUAUAGACCAUUAGAGGGUUCCGACAUGUCGUACAAACCAUGAGAGGUGGUUCCGACUUGUAGGUGACUUUAGAUUAUUAUACAGUUGUUGAUGAGAGAAGCACUAGAGCGUAUUGUUACACCAUUCUUGUCGUACAGACUACUUCAGGUAGUUCCGAUUUAUGUGCAGAGUAGUGCCGUACAAGUCACCGUUAGUGACUCCGGUUGGAUUGGAUAUUGAGCUAUAGAAUUAACCGUACAAGACCAACUGCAGGGUCUCCGGUUGAUUGCUUAUUUCACCUGUUGUAAUGUUGCAUCCUUAUUCUGUUAUUGACGCUUAUAGCAUAUCAUACUUUCUGGUUUUUGAUAAAGAUUGGUGAUUUGAGAUAUUUGAAAAAUUAUAUGCAUAUUAUGUUAUUUUCUGGGAAAGUAUACAGGUUUUACAGCGAGGGGUUAGAAAUGUUAUUAAAUGAAGUGUUUUCAAAAAGCUUUGUUUUACUGACCCACUCAAUUUUGUUUUGCACCCCUCCAGGUUCUAGUUAGCGGUGUGGUGGCUCACGAGGAUUCCCACGACAUUCUGAUAGACUACAUAAAUGUAGGACUCACCUUCGGGUGUUGUAAUUUAGUAAUGUUCCUACUUGACUACACCUAGUACUUAUGCUCUGAAUAUGUGUGUUUCACACUUAAACUUACUCUAGCAUGCUAAUUGGAUAUUAUUGCUAGUAGUUGGUUUUUAUUCCUUCGUAUUUCUCUUAUCUUUUGCUUCUGCAUCGCACUUUUGGUUAUGUCACGCUCACAUGACGGCCAGCACGCCUUGAUUCUAGGAUCAGGGUGUGUCAGUUUUGUAUCAGAGCCUAGGUUUGCAGUGCUGUAGAAAUUGUUAAUGCUCUAAUGAUCUUUUGGUGUCUUCUGUCACAACUAUGCUGCCUCGUAGGGAAUCACGUCGUACUUCUGAGCCUAAUUUCCCUGAUAUAACUCAAUUAGGGGAAGCGAUGGCCCAUGCCUUUCAGAAUGCAAUUUGUCCUCUUCCUCCUCAGAGAACACCCCUGGAGACUAUGUAUAAUCUAAAAUUAGACCGCUUCAUGGGUCAUGAGGGUCAUGAAGGGGCAGAAAAGUGGUUAGACCAUAUUGAGAAGGCUUUUGAGGUGAUGCAAAGUCUAGGGAAUCUUCCUGCUAGUAGAUGGGUUGAGACCACUAGUUGGUUUUUAGGAUGAGAGCUAGCAGCUUGGUGGGUAAAUCAAACUCAGUUUAUGUCACCUGAAGAGGCAGCUAAUUGGGAAGUAUUCAAAGAGAAUUUUAAGAAAAGAUUUGUUCCUCCGGAGUACAUUGAUCGUAAGAAGCAGGAGUUCACUCAAUUGAAGCAAAAGAAUAUGUCGGCGCAUGAGUAUUACAGGAAGUUUACAGACUUAUCUCGCUAUGAUCCUGAUACAGCUGGUAAUCAGGUAGAGAUGCUUUGCCGUUUUAAGUUGGGAACUAAGAGGAAAUGGCGGACAUUUGCUAGUGCGAUUCCUUGCACCACUUAUCAAGAGUUUUCUGAGAUUUUAGUUCGGAUGGAGGAUUCCGACAACCUUCCUAGUAAUAGUGAGGAUGAUGAAGAUAAGAAUGAUAAUCAGAAGAAAGAUGAUAGAGGUAAAGGUAUCUCCACUCAGGGACCCCGUAAGACACAGAAUUUCAAGAGAAGUGGAGCGAACUCGAGUUCUUCCAGCAGAGGAUUUAGUGUCACAGGCCCGAGAAGAGGUGGAAGGUUUACUGGUGGACCCAGGUUUCAGAAGCAGAGAGACUUUGGUGGUGCUGAUGGUUCUGGUGCUCCGUUAUGCCGCCGUUGUAAUUUCAGACAUCAUGGAGAGUGUAGGAGAAGUGGUGGUGGUUGCUACACUUGUGGACAGAUGGGAUAUAGAGCUGCUCAGUGUCCCUAGAGUCAGUAGAGCUUUCAGCAGUCUGCUAUGCCACCUCCAGCGCUGAUUCAGCAGAACUUUGGUCAGGCAGUUAUGGUUAGAUGGGUCGUGGUGAUGCUUACCACUAUCAGCGUGAUGCUGCUCCUUAUGCUUCCUGACAGUAUCAGUAUUCUCAGGAUCCUUAUUUUCAGACUGGGUAUUCCCAAGAUCCUAGAGGUUAUACUUCAUAUCCUUCCAUACCAGCUAGUGGAUCUCAAUGGUAUCAGGGAGGUUAGCCCCGACAGGGAGAGGUUGCUGCUAGUAAUGCAGGACCAUCUAGGCAGUUUAGCCAGACAGGACAUGGACGUACUUCUCAGCGAUGAGGUAAUCAAGGUAAUAGAGGUCGUGGAGGACGACAGCAAGCCCAGGGACGUGUUAAUCAUAUCACACUGCAAGAUGCUCAGAAUCAUCUGGACUUGAUUAUGGGUACAUUAAAUAUUCUUGGUCACUUUGCUAGAGUUUUGAUUGAUUGUGGUGCUACCCAUUCUGUGAUUUCUCAUACAUUUGUUCAAAUGACACGACCUCACCCUACAUCUCUAGGAUUUGAUUUAGAGUUUGCUAUGCCUAGAGGGGACAAAUGUUAUGUUGAUAGUGUUUAUCCAGGGUGUCCAGUGAUGGUAGAUGGUGUGGUUAUGCCAGCUAAUCUUAUCCCGUUAGACAUUGUGGAUUUUGAUGUGAUUUUAGGGGCAUAUUGGUUGCAUUAUAAUUGUGCCCAUAUAGAUUGUUACAGGAAAUCAGUUACUUUUCUUCGUCCUGGACUACCAGAGGUUACUUUUGUGGGUGAAAGAAGUGGGGUGAGACAUGGUGUUAUUUCUGCCAUGAGAGCAAAUAAGUUGUUAUCGAAAGGUUGUCAAGGAUACUUAGCACAUGUGGUGUUAAAUGAUGUUGUUCCUAGUAGUGUGGAGGAAGUUGGAGUAGUCAGGCACUAUCCUGAUGUAUUCCCAGAUGAUUUCCUGGAUGGUCGCCAGACAGAGAUGUGGAGUUUUCUAUUGAUUUGCUUCCAGGUACGGAUCCUAUAUCUUUGACUCCAUAUAAAAUGGCAGCUGAAUUGAGAGAAUUGAAAAUUCAGUUACAGGAAUUAACUGAUAAAGGCUUCAUUCAACCUAGUACUUCACCUUGGGGAGCUCCGGUAUUGUUUGUAAGAAAGAAAGAUGGAACUUUGAGAUUAUGUAUUGAUUACAAGCAAUUGAAUCGGGUAACGAUUAAAAACCGUUAUCCAUUGUCUCAUAUCGAUGAUUUGUUUGAUCAACUCAAGGGUGCAUGUGUGUUCUCUAAGAUUGAUUUGAGAUCUGGCUAUUAUCAGUUGAAGUUUAAAGAUGAAGAUGUACCUAAAACGGCUUUCAGGACCCAUUAUCGACAUUAUGAGUUUUUGGUGAUGCCAUUUGGAUUGACUAAUGCACCAGCAGCUUUCAUGAGGCAAAUGAAUGAAGUAUUCCAGCAAUAUCUUGAUAGGUUUGUCAUUGUUUUUAUUGAUGAUAUUCUGGUAUACUCUAAGUCGAAAGCAUAUCAUAUUCGACAUCUUAACUUGGUAUUAAAGAAAUUGAGAGAGCAUCGGUUAUAUGCCAAGUUUAGCAAAUGCCAGUUUUGGUUGAAUCAAGUGACGUUUUUGGGACAUGUAGUAUCGGCACAAGGAAUUCAAGUUAAUCCUCAAAGGAUUGCAGCAGUGGAGAAUUGGGAACAGCCACGAACCGUCACUAAGGUGUGGAGUUUUCUUGGUUUAGCAGGUUAUUAUCGAUGAUUUGUUCAAGAUUUUUCUAUGAUUGCUUUACCACUAACGAAGUUAACCAGGAAGGAUGUUAAGUUCGAGUGGGACGAGAAUUGUGAGCAAAGUUUCUAGUAGCUGAAAUAUUGCCUCACUCAUGCUCCAGUAUUGGUACUUCCUGAUGAUAACGGUAACUUUGAGAUUUACAGUGAUGCUUCUUUGAAUGGUUUGGGAUGUGUUUUGAUGCAGCAUAAUAGAGUGAUCGCCUAUGCUUCUCGACAGUUGAAGAUUCAUGAAAGGAAUUAUCCUACUCACGAUCUUGAGUUGGCAGCCAUUGUCUUUGCUUUGAAGAUUUGGAGACAUUAUCUCUAUGGUGAGAAAUGUAAGAUCUUCACAGAUCAUAAGAGUCUUCAAUAUCUUUUUACUCAGCAUGAUCUUAAUCUUCGUCAACGAAGGUGGAUGGAGUUACUAAGUGAUUAUGACUGCACUAUUGAGUAUCAUCCGGGUCGUGCAAAUGUGGUAGCUGAUGCACUAAGUAGAAAACCUCAAGGUUGACUUAAUGCUUUGUAUGCUUGCCGUGUUCCUCUUCUUGCAGAUUUGAGACUACUGGAGUAAAGUUGGAGAUCGAAGAACGAAGAGAAGCUUUUCUUGCUAGUUUCCAAGUCAGGCCAGUUUUGGUCGAUCGUGUACUUGAAGCUCAGAUGGUUGAUGAAGAGAUCUAAGAGAUGAUCCAAUUGAGAAAUGAAGGGAAAAAGAAAGACCUCAGGAUUCGGGAAUCGGAUGGCAUGCUUAUGCAGGAGAACAUAAUGUAUGUGCCGAAUAAUGAGGAAUUAAAUAAGGAAAUUUUGGAUGAAGCACAUUGUUCAGCUUAUACGAUGCAUCCAGGAGGAACUAAGAUGUACCAUACCAUUCAACCAUUUUAUUAUUGGCCGGGUAUGAAAAGGGAAAUUUUAGAUUAUGUAAGUAGGUGUAUUGUUUGUUAGCAAGUCAAAGCUGAAAGAAAGAAACCUUUUGGGCGGAUGCAACCACUUCCAGUUCCUCAGUGGAAAUGGGAAAAUAUAACUAUGGAUUUUGUGUAUAAGCUUCCACGUACACAUAAUGGAUUAGAUGGCGUUUGGGUGAUUAUAGAUCGACUUACCAAGUCAGCACACUUCAUUCCAGUGAGGGAAAAGUAUCCCCUGAAUAAAUUGGCUAAGUUGUUCAUCACGAAGAUUGUGAAGUAUCAUGGAGUUCCAGUGAAUAUUAUUUCUGAUCGAGAUCCAAGAUUUACUUCUAAGUUUUGGAUAGCUUUUCAGGAAGCUCUUGGUACAAAACUGCUUUACAGCACUGCUUAUCAUCCUUAAAUAGAUGGACAAUCAGAGAGGACUAUUCAGACGUUAGAGGAUAUGCUGAGAUCUUCAGUGUUACAGUUUGGUGAUUCUUGGCAUGAUUGCCUAGACUUAAUGGAAUUUUCCUACAAUAAUAGUUUUCAUUCGAGCAUUGGUAUGUCACCAUUUGAGGCACUUUAUGGUAGAGUUUGUCGUACGCCAUUGUGUUGGUCAGAGGUUGGCGAAAGAGUGCUAGAGGGCCCAAAGAUUGUGGAUGAGACUACUCAAAAUGUUCAGGUGAUUAAGUCUAACCUGAAGGCAACCCAGGAUCGACAAAAGAGUUUAGCAGAUAGACAUGCUACUGAUCGAGUAUAUGAUGUGGGUAAUUUGGUAUGCUUGAAAUUGUCACCUUGGAGAGGUGUAGUACGGUUUGGAAAGAAAGGCAAGCUAAGUCCUAGGUACAUAGGACCUUAUGAGAUCACUGAAAGGAUUGGUGAAGUUGCUUACAGAUUAGAGUUGCCUCCAGAGUUAUCUAAGAUACAUAAUGUAUUUCAUGUCUCGAUGCUUCGACAUUAUGUUUCAGAUCCUUCACAUGUGAUUCCUCUUCAACCUUAGGAGAUUAAUCCGGAAUUGACGUAUGAUAAGGCACCAGUGACUAUCUUGGAUUGGAAAGACAAGGUUCUAAGGAAUAAGACAGUGAGCUUGGUAAAAGUAUUGUGGAGGAACCACUCAGUGGAAGAAGCUACUUGGGAGACAGAAUAUCAAAUGAGAGAGAUGUAUCCAAGGUUGUUUUAUGAGUAUUAAGUGGAGUGAGUGGUUGUCUGAAUUUCGAGGAUGAAAUUUUCAUCGGGAAAUGUGAAAUGAUAGAAUUACCCUCGGACGUUAUUUGGGGUGUGACUUACGUUUGGUUUAAUUUCAAGAUCCUUGGAACCAAUUAGAACUAAGAUCCUUCAUAGUUUUGGUUGGUGGCUUUUUGGACCACACAACUCCCUAUCACUCUCUCUCUCCUAUCCCGUGUCUCUCUCUUCCCUCUCAGUAUCUCUCUCCUUUCAAACCGUACGAGUGAGUACCAUCGAGCCUCCAAGCACGGAUCGAAGGUUUUGAAGGCACCAUUGUACUCGUGAGGACCCUAUGAACUCACCCAUACCCAUUUCAUGUAAGAAACCUUUCGAUUUCACGUUGAAAACUAGAGGUCCGAUUUGAGUACUAUUCAUGAACUUUGUAAUGGUUGGUUUUUAGGACAAUCCAAGCCCACAGUGAGCUUUAGAAUGUUCUCACGAAACUCGGGGAUGUUCGUUUGAAGGUUUUGGACGUUGGGAUCACAAGGUUCGAAGGUGGGCGGUUUUGGUGAAAUUUCCCGACGUGAUUUCAAAGGAUUUGGAAGUUUUUAAAGGUAUAGCCUUCUUCCUCUCGUAAUUUGUGAAGUUUUGGUGAAAAUUUCAUGGAAA